rnacentral:rRNA from 1 species
UGUGUAGGCGGUUGCUUAAGUUUGGUGUGAAAUCUCCCGGCUCAACCGGGAGGGUGCGCCGAAUACUGAGUGACUAGAGUGCGGGAGAGGAGAGUGGAAUUCCUGGUGUAGCGGUGAAAUGCGUAGAUAUCAGGAGGAACACCGGUGGUGUAGACGGCUCUCUGGACCGUAACUGACGCUGAGACACGAAAGCGUGGGUAGCAAACAGGAUUAGAUACCCUGGUAGUCCACGCCCUAAACGAUGCAUAUUUGGUGUGGGCAGUUCAGUCUGUCCGUGCCGGAGCUAACGCGUUAAAUAUGCCGCCUGGGGAGUACAGUCGCAAGGCUGAA